AUGGAGGAGACCGGGGAAGGGGAUGGGCCAGUGGGAGGGGAGAUGGAGGGGAUAGGGGAAGGGGAGGGGCCAGAGGCAGGGGAAAUGGCAAUAGAAAUGGAAGAGCAGAUGGAGGAGACGGGGAUAAUGAUGGCGGAGAUGAUUUUGACUAUUUUUUAGAUGAUGAUGUAGCGAUGCUGAUUGAGAGUCUUCAACGCAAGACUUGCAAGGUGAUUAUAACAAAAGGCUAGUAAAUGAGGCCCCCAAGCUUGGUACUGUGCACUUUGUCGACGGAUGGUAUUAUAAAUUGUAUUUUUAUUUAUUAGCUUUGGCACAUUGUUGUUAUUUGUUUUUUGAUGUAUUUUAUCUUUGUCUUCUUAAUAAUUUCAGUAUUGUUGAGCCUCGUUAUAAAAAGACGUUGGCCAUAAUCCAAACUUUCUGGGACAUUGAUACAAUGAAUGCAACUGGUUUACUAUGACCACGAUUCUGAUAAAGAAAUAGGAGACAUUUAUGUGAAAAAUCAUAUACAAAUUAACUUCAAGAACAUACUCCGUAAGGAGAAGAGCCGAAUAGAUGAGAGAGUUAAACUAGCCAGGAGUUUGGGUUACAUGCGUGCCAAUAGACGUAUAUAUGUUGAAGCCGCAUUAUUUUGGCGAUGCUAUAUGGGACAACAUUAAUAAGCACUGGGAGUCUGAAAGGUUUGAAAAGGCUUCAGCAAAUGGGUGGCGAAACGGCGCCAAAAAGAACUUCAAUCACAAAAGUGGAGCCGUUUCCUUUUGUGUGAGACGAUCAGAGUUGGAUACUAAUUUGGAGAGUCCUAUGACGAAUCUAGAAUUCUUCAAGCAUGUCUAUAACAUCGAGGAGCCAACCGUGAAAAAUAUGAUGGUUGGUUGCCUAUGAAGCAUGAGUGCGGAUGCGCGGAAGCUAUACAGGCGAGGAGCUCUCAAGAAGUCCCAGAGGCCCCUCUUUCUCCGACUAGCAAAAGGAAACAAGAUUUGUAUGUCCUUAUGCCGGCCAGGAAACCAAAAGAAAAAUAAAAUUAUCUUGUACCCUCGAAACAAUGUAACAAAAUUGUUAGGAGCUGGUGAAGCAUCUAGAUUGAAUGCAGCUCAAUCCACUCAGGACUCUCAAGUCAUCAUUCCAAGAAGAUCUCAAUUAUCCGUAGGGUGCUAUCAGAGGUCACAAAUAUGGUCAAGUAUUUGGACGGAAUGAAUGAGGUGCCUCAGGCCCAACUUAAAGAAAUGUUGAAAAAACUGGCCACUACAGCUUUUCCGACAGAGCUAAUGCAGUUCAACAAUCAACAUGGGAUCCAGAGACGAAGCCAGGAUACAUCUUUAGAGAGGGCCAAAAAAAUUUCAUCAACACAGUGAAAAAUUCGAUAAAAUAAAUAGAAAAAUACUAGUAAAAAAUUUAUAGUAGAACUUUACGUUCUUUUAA